rnacentral:rRNA from 1 species
UACGUAGGGUGCGAGCGUUAAUCGGAAUUACUGGGCGUAAAGUGUGCGCAGGCGGCCGAGCAAGUCGGGUGUGAAAGCCCCGAGCUUAACUUGGGAACUGCGCUCGAAACUACUUGGCUAGAGUGUGGCAGAGGGAGGUGGAAUUCCACGUGUAGCGGUGAAAUGCGUAGAGAUGUGGAGGAACACCGAUGGCGAAGGCAGCCUCCUGGGCCAACACUGACGCUCAUGCACGAAAGCGUGGGGAGCAAACAGG